ensembl:lncRNA
CGGGAAGCCCGGCCCCAGCGCCAGCCUGACGAGCAGCACUUAAUUCUUUAUUGAAAACCAUUAACUGGAGUUCAGUUCUCUGAGCCCCAGUUUCAAAUUACCCACAGGAAACACCAGGCUGAGAGAGUGGCUUUCAAGGGCAGAGUCAUCUCCUCGAAGAGACUGGCUCCGGGACUGGGGCUGUGGGGACUUAUUUAUUUUGAGAGGCAGUAACAGCAACAGCAGCAAUCAUUUCAACUCCUGGAUGCAUAAAAGCAGGCGAAGCACCCUCCUCUUCCUCCCUCUCUUUAACAAUAACCCAAAGCAUCAAGGCUGGCAGGAAGUAUUAUCACCCAGGAUGGAUGGGAAACCGAUGGCCUGAGGGUCACACAAGCAAGCAGGCAGGCAGGCUCCGGAUCUCCCUGCCUGUGAGCCCCAUGACCCUCCUGUCACAGCACUUCACGGACCACCCAUAGCGGGGCCUGCCCGGUUACACUGAGCAAAGUACAAAGAAUUCUCACUGACUCCUCCAAACAGCAUUUUGAAGUGGUACUACUAGUCUCCCCACCAACCAAGAAGGAAAGUGAGGCUCCAGGAGUUUGGGUGAUUCUCUCAUAAUUACACACAAGUAGCAGAAUCUUCACCCUGACUUCACGAUUCCCAUGACUUCUUUAUCACCAUCACAGUCACAAUUUGAUGAACAUCUGCACUGAGACCCAACAAGGGUCUGGAGACCACAAAGGCCCUGUGGAUCUCCAGGGAAGGUAUCCGAGAGUUGAGAGGUGGGAGAGACUUGGCCAAAUGAAAAAAGCAGGGGAGAAAGUUCCACAAAGGGGCAAUGACACAGCCCAGGGUUGGGGAUAUCAAAGCACACGGCGUGUUAAGGCGACUCAGGAAUUGCUGAACUGUCUGAACUAAGCACAGACAGUACAGAGGGGCCCUGCCCUCUGGAAGUAUGCAGCCCCCAGGAGAGAGAUGAAAACACAUCAAAUGACUUAGUAUUUGAGGCAAAUUGGAUCCUAUUCAGCUCUCUGGAAAGCCCAAUGCAAUAAGCCUGCUCCUCUGUCCACAACGCCCCUUCGGAUGGAUGAAGACAACAGCUGUUGUUCUCACAUCUCCUCUUUCCAGCCAAACACUCCCAGAUUUUGCACCCAAUAUGAUUACCAAAUUACUACAGGAUUUAGCCGCCCUUGAGAAAGAAACAAGAAAGAACAAACAAUAGAAGUAGUUCCCUGAUGCCCAGGCUGGUGUCUUGCCUCUGGAUCGGCAGCCAGUACCGCAGUGAACUACCCGCGGAAAACAGUCACAGCCUGUUUGCCUUCCCCAGUCCCUCAGCUCCCACAGCCAAGCUGGACACCAGCUUGGACACUCCAGGGAUCUGUCUCCACCUAAACCUUGUCCCGUCCCUGCCCCUGACUGGCCCUUAUUUGAGCUGGGUCCAUUUUCUUGGCCACAUUGCUGACUGCAGUGCACGCUCAUUCCAGAAAAUGCCGACCUCUGCUCCAAGCCGCCUUGUCGGCAGUUUCCCAGACAUAGCUGGACUGUUUAUUUAUUUAUUUUUGUGUUAGCAGAGAGGAGAAAAUCACAUCGGCCUAAAAUGAAUACUAAUGAAAUGCCUUCGUUAGCUUCCUUUGUGAUCAGAAUGAAAAAUCGGAUUUCCGCAGAAUUGCAAGCCAUAUAUUUCUUUCCCCCAACCUUUUUCUCUUCUUUUUUUUUUUUUUUUUGCCCUUUCCUCUGAUA